UUAUCUUAGAUUGGAACAUACGAUUUUGCAUGCAAUGUUAUUUCCCUAUGUUCCAUUUUAAAAAAAACGCAUCAACCUGAAGGAUAUGCGCGGUUCACAACUAAAACAAACGUAUUAGAAAUUUGCGAGUCACAUUUGAACCAGCCUUUAUUUUUAGGUUAUGUACGUGUACGGUCGAAAGUCGAAGAAAAAUUGUUUAAUAAUAAAUAAAAUGAAUUUAAUUAUAAGUUAUAACAAAUGUUCAAAGUGCCCUCCUUCACAUUCCAAGCAGUACCCUAACCGAUUGCGAAAUUCCUGAAUACUAUUUCGUAAAAACGUAGGAUUCAUUUGAUCACAUGCUGUUAGUAUUCGGAUAUCCCCAAAGGAAAAAGUCAUUUGGCGACAGAUCGGGAGAUCGUGCUGGCCAAGAUAUUGGACCAAAUCUACCGAUCCAACGGCCCGGGAAUGUUUCAUUGAGGAAACUUGUCACUGGUCUCGUAGAAUGUGGUGGAGCCCCGUCCAUUUGAAACCAUGGGUUGUUUAUAUUCAACUCCUGUAACCGUGGAAUAAUGCGCGAUCUAAGUAAUUCGAGAAACUUUGUUGAAUUUAGAGUUCCAUCGAU